rnacentral:misc_RNA from 1 species
GCAGAUCCACCCAAACCUUCACAGAAACUUCCUGUGCGGCCGCCCGGCGUCCUCAUCCUGCAUGUGGAAUUCCCGGACGAUCCCCUUGUAGAUGAGGAUCGGGACGGCGAUGCCGAAGAUGCCGACGAUGGCGAGGUUGCGACGGGUCCAGCGGAAGUUGAACUCCAGAUCCUCGCGGCCGGCGUUCCAGGCCUCGAUGAAUUUGUUCUUGUUCACCUCCAUUCCACCUCCCAUCUUGGAUUCUUG